AGGAAACUCCCUUUACGGUAAGAAGGGCUGAGCUGUAAACUCAGUAGCUAGAUGCUUUUAAGAGUUCGAAUCUCUUGUUUCCUA
rnacentral:tRNA from 1 species